rnacentral:rRNA from 1 species
GACGAACGCUGGCGGCGUGCUUAACACAUGCAAGUCGAACGGAAAGGCCCUGCUUUUGUGGGGUGCCCGAGUGGCGAACGGGUGAGUAACACGUGAGUAACCUGCCCUUGACUUUGGGAUAACUUCAGGAAACUGGGGCUAAUACCGGAUAGGAGCUCCUGCUGCAUGGUGGGGGUUGGAAAGUUUCGGCGGUUGGGGAUGGACUCGCGGCUUAUCAGCUUGUUGGUGGGGUAGUGGCUUACCAAGGCUUUGACGGGUAGCCGGCCUGAGAGGGUGACCGGCCAAAUUGGGACUGAGAUACGGCCCAGACUCCUACGGGAGGCAGCAGUGGGGAAUAUUGCACAAUGGGCGGAAGCCUGAUGCAGCAACCCCGCGUGCGGGAUGACGGCCUUCGGGUUGUAAACCGCUUUCGCCUGCGACGAAGCGUGAGUGACGGUAAUGGGUAAAGAAGCACCGGCUAACUACGUG